UAUAUUAUUUUUAUUUUACUGUCUUGUCUUGUUUAAUUAGUACCCUUUUAAAAUAAAAAAGGAAGUAAGAUGUGAAAUAAAAAAAGUUUGAAAAGAUAGCUAUCUUAUAUCAUAGGUCACAGUUUCCUAAAGCCUAACCACAAGCAUACAUAAAAUUACUUAAGCAAUUUACUUUGGUUUAUCACAAAAUUUAUAUGGUAAUAAUGCAAUUCUCUAAAUGAAUGUAAGAAAAGAUAUGAAAUUCUAAGAAUAUUCUUUAAUCCAAGGCACUGAUAACUAAUUUGCUUUGAAAUUCUUAGAUCCUGAGUACAUAAAAUUCUUGUUUUUGCAUUCCAGCAAAGAAAUCCUGGAAAACAGAGUUCUUUCAUUUACUAAAUUACUUUAUUGAUUUUCAUUUCCCCCCAAUUUUAUCACUUGAAAUCAUUUGUCUUUGUUGUUCAAACAUCAGCUUAUGUAGAGGCUAUUAAAAAUGUAGUAGUGUAGAAAAUAAUGUGUUUUAUAUGGAAGAGACAGACAUGAUUGAUAUCAAUAAUUUUGUGUUAUCACAAGAAAUAUAGAAAUUGAAAAAGCUAGAAUUCUACUAAUGGAAGAAAGAAAAUCCAUUUUUUUGUUGAAAAGAUGAAAAAGAAGAAAAAUAGUUUCAUUUAAAUAUUUUUGAUGUUAUAGUGCAUAUUUCAUUAUCUUUUGCUUGUUAUAAUCACAUAAUAUUGCCUCAUUGACAGUGCCUUGCAAAUCAUUUUCAAAGCAAGGUUCUUUAAUAUAACAUACUCAUAAAAUCAAGUUUUUGAUUUAUAGUACUUACACAUAUUUAUUGAAUAAACUUGCAAAUAUUUUUCAUAUUUCAAGAGUUCAAAAAACAACAAAAAUGUUUAUUAUCCAGACUUUCUGUAUGAUUCAAUGUUCAAAAGCUAAUAUUAAUCAAUUAAGUGAUCUCCCAUCUGAACUCUGAAAAUUGCAAUUUACUAAAUAAAACCAUUAAAAUAAAAAUUAUUGCAAUGAUUUUUUUUGUUUUCCUCCUUCUACUAAUUACUUAUAACAAGACUGUACUUUUCAACGUUUUGGUUGUAUUUGCUGUUAAUACAAUUUUUAAAAUUCUUUACAAUAUCAAGAAUUUGAUGUCAUUUAAAAAGCUUUUUCAUUUGAGAAAACGUUUUGUAGCUUUUAUAUUUCUUAGGCAUAUUUCAUUAGUAAUUCUGUUCUUUAGGUAUUGUAAAUUCUUUAUUGAAAGAAGAUGUGAACUAUUUGUUUGGAAAUUCAUUUUUAUAAUAACUAACUGUGAUACUGUUUCAUGUUAUCUUUUUAUUCAAUAAAGUAUGAAUUCUCCUGA